CCUACGGGAGGCAGCAGUGGGGAAUAUUGGGCAAUGGAGGAAACUCUGACCCAGCGACGCCGCGUGCGGGAUGAAGGCCUUCGGGUUGUAAACCGCUUUCAGUAGGGAAGAAGCGAAAGUGACGGUACCUACAGAAGAAGCACCGGCUAACUAUGUGCCAGCAGCCGCGGUAAUACAUAGGGUGCAAGCGUUGUCCGGAAUUAUUGGGCGUAAAGAGCUCGUAGGUGGUUCGUCACGUCGGAUGUGAAAAUCUGGGGCUCAACCCCAGACCUGCAUUCGAUACGGGCGAUCUAGAGUGUGGUAGGGGAGACUGGAAUUCCUGGUGUAGCGGUGGAAUGCGCAGAUAUCAGGAGGAACACCAAUGGCGAAGGCAGGUCUCUGGGCCAUUACUGACACUGAGGAGCGAAAGCGUGGGGAGCGAACAGGAUUAGAUACCCUGGUAGUCCACGCCGUAAACGGUGGGCACUAGUUGUGGGAACCUUCCACGGUUUCUGCGACGCNGCUACGCAUAGUAGCCCGCCGUCGGGAGGUACGAGUCGCGAAGAAGUUAAACGUAACGUAAAGGUAAGUUAGUUACGGCGUGAGACGUGCCGACGGCGACGACGAGGGAGGAGG
rnacentral:rRNA from 1 species